rnacentral:rRNA from 1 species
CGGAGGGUGCAAGCGUUAUCCGGAUUCACUGGGUUUAAAGGGUGCGUAGGUGGCUUUGUAAGUCAGUGGUGAAAUCUUAGAGCUUAACUCUAAAACUGCCAUUGAUACUGCUUAGCUUGAAUCAAGUCGAGGUGGAUGGAAUAUUACAUGUAGCGGUGAAAUGCUUGGAUAUGUAAUAGAACACCGAUUGCGAAGGCAGUUCACUAGGCUUGUAUUGACACUGAGGCACGAAAGCGUGGGGAUCAAACAGGAUUAGAUACCCUGGUAGUCCACGCCCUAAACGAUGUAAACUCGACAUUAGCGAUAUACAGUUAGUGUCCAAGCGAAAGCGUUAAGUUUACCACCUGGGAAGUACGACCGCAAGGUUG